AAAGGGCGCGUAGGCGGCGUUUUAAGUCGGGGGUGAAAGCCUGUGGCUCAACCACAGAAUGGCCUUCGAUACUGGGACGCUUGAGUAUGGUAGAGGUUGGUGGAACUGCGAGUGUAGAGGUGAAAUUCGUAGAUAUUCGCAAGAACACCGGUGGCGAAGGCGGCCAACUGGACCAUUACUGACGCUGAGGCGCGAAAGCGUGGGGAGCAAACAGGAUUAGAUACCCGUGU
rnacentral:rRNA from 1 species